GGGGAUUCUAAUAUCCCUCACCACAAGUCCCUUGUUUGGCAAAAAACUCCAGAGGGACUUGAAUGACCUCGGAUUUUAAGAAAGGGAUAUUAGGAGGGAUCUUUAUUAAUGAGAAUCCCUUGUAUGAGUUCCGCCUCUUUAGGCGUAACUUUGAAAUUUCAAAAACCAAAGCAACGUGACCGGACCACCUUGAUUUCUCGCGAAUUCCUAUCCUUGAAUCGCUGAUUCUCAGGGACCUCUCACACAUUGUUCUUGUCCACUACCGGGAAGUAAAGUUAAUGAGAAAUAGUUUUUAGUGAUUGGAAGUUUGAUUCCUAAAAAUGUUGGUAAAGAUUUGCUAUUGAUCGAAGCCACUAACAGGUGGAUUGUAUUUCGUGAUCAAUUGGUGAUGGAUAUGUUUGCUGACUACCAAAGGCAUCGAGCUCAACAA